UUUAAUAAUUAUUUAUUAAUUUAUUUUAAUUUAUUUAUUUAUUAUAUUAAAAAUAAUUUUAUUUUUAUUUAUAUAAGUAAUUUAUAUUGAAAUUAUAAUAUUUAUGAUAGUUUAUUAGUAUCGUGAGAGAAAAUUUAAAUAUUUUGAAAAAUUUUUAUGAUUUAAGUAAAUUUAAUUUAUUGUACCUUGUGUAUCAGGGUUUAUUAAUUAAUUAAUAUAUUUAUAUUGUUCUCGAAUUUAAAAGAGUUAAUGAAUUAUAAAAGUUAAUGUGAUAAAAUUAUUUUAUAUAAUUUAUUAGUAAUGAAAAGUUAUUCGUUUUUAAAUAUAUCUAGUUUUUUAAGAAAUAAAUUUAAUUUAUAAUUUUAAAAUGUAUUAAUUUAUUUAAUUAAUUUAAUAUAGUUAAAAUUAAAUAUUUUAGGGGAUAAGCUUUAAAAUAAAUUUUUAUAAGAUUAUUAAUAUUUAUAUAAAUAUAUGUUUAGAAUUAGCAAUUAUUAAUAAUUUUGUUAUAAAUUAUUUAUUUUAAUAUAUUAUUUAUUAAUCUUUAAUUAUUUAUUAAAAUUAUCAUUUAAAUUAAUAAAAUGAUGAAAUUAUGAUAAAAUUAGUAUAUUUUUUUGUAUUUUUAAAUAUUUAAUAUGAUAAGUUUAUGUAAAGAAUUCGGCAAAAUUAAAUGUUCGCCUGUUUAACAAAAACAUGUCUUUUUGAUUAUAUAAAAAGUCUGACCUGCCCAUUGAUAUUUAUUUAACGGCCGCAGUAUAUUAACUGUGCAAAGGUAGCAUAAUCAUUAGUCUUUUAAUUGAAGGCUGGAAUGAAUGGUUGGACGAAAUAUUAACUGUUUCAUAUGAAUUUAUUAUAAAAUUUAAUUUUUUAGUCAAAAAGCUAAAAUUUUUUUAAAAGACGAGAAGACCCUAUAAAUCUUUAUAUAAUUUAAAUUAUUAAUUUUUUAAAUAAUUUUUAUUAUUAAUUUAAAUUAUAUUAUAUUGGGGUGAUAGUAAAAUUUAAAAAACUUUUAUUAAUAUAUAAACAUUUAUUAAUGAAUUUUUGAUCCAAUAGUAUUGAUUAUAAAUUUAAGUUACUUUAGGGAUAACAGCGUAAUAUUUUUGGAGAGUUCUUAUUGAUAAAAAUGAUUGCGACCUCGAUGUUGGAUUAAGGUAUAAUUUUAGGUGUAGAAGUUUAAAUUUUAAGUCUGUUCGACUUUUAAAUCCUUACAUGAUCUGAGUUCAAACCGGUGUGAGCCAGGUUGGUUUCUAUCUUUAAUUAAUUAAAAUAUUUUAGUACGAAAGGACCAAAUAUUUAAAUUUUUAAAUUUUUCAAAUUUGAAUUUUAAUAAAUUAUAG
rnacentral:rRNA from 1 species